CAAUCUGAAUGUCUCGUGCUGCAGUUGCUGCUUGGUGGCCACUAGGAGAUUGUAGCUGUUCUGUGAAACAGGGCGGAGAAGGAGGAUCAGAGCUUAUUUCAGAAACCUUGACUGAAGCAGUGCAUUAGGUUAGACCAGCAACAGUUGAGCCUGAAGACAGAGUUAUGACUGUGACAUGAUCACUGUGAAAAUGAAGCUGCUCUUGGUUGCAGUCCUGAUCUUCACUGAUUUGUCCCACGGUGUAAAAAUUCAACAGCCUCCAUUUGCAUUCAGUCGUGAAGGGGACCCGACUGUAACUUUGCAGUGUGAACAAGAUGACGAGCAAUAUUACUACAUGUACUGGUACAGACAAAGCAGCGAUAAGACAAUGCAGCUGGUAACAUAUUCUCUAAAUAAAGAUUCAUGGAACAUAGAAGCUCCGUUCAACAAAUCCAAGUACACCAUGUCCCGGCCUUCAGUGCUCAGCUCCUCCCUGCAGAUACACCUUGCUGAGGCUGGAGACUCAGCUGUGUAUUACUGUGCCUCCAGUAGAGCACAAUGGUUCAGAGAGCCUUAGCAGCUAAACAACAACCUCAAGAGGAAGAGACGACAGGGAGGUGGGAUGAGUGGGAAGGGUUGAUGUGUCGGACUGUGUGUGUGUGUGGUGCAGAGCAGGAUUUUGCUGACAUGACUUGACAACAGACUAACAUCAACAUGACAUGAAAAUAUGGAAGAAAAGCUGUUUGAUGAUGAUCUGUUUGUUUGUUUGUUUGUUUAUUCAUUAAAGGUAGAAAAACUGUUUCUCUGCAGUUCAGUGACGAUCCUGCAGGAACACCACAAAGCUGAUCAGCUCAGAUAAAUGAGCAGGUGUUAACAUGGUAAAGAUUAUUUGUCACCUGCAGUAAUAUUGUCCUGAGCAGUUUUUCAUCUAUGUCACACUCGCAUUAAGUCUCUGCUACUUUAUUUUACUGUAAUUCUGUAACCUGUUAAAAUGCUGAUGGGUCAAUGCUGUCUGGAAUUAAUAAAAAAAAAAAAAGAUUAAGAAAAAAAAAUUAUUUAACCUGACAAGAACAUAAAUGUGUCAAACCCUGUAGAGGUCACACACCGACCUCUACAGGGUAAUUGUGGAAUUACACUUGAAUUUAAAAAAAUUAUCUUGUGCUUUUUUUGAAGUCAGGAUAGUAUGUUGAAUGGGAACUGGUCAAAUAAUUUAAGUGUUUUCAAACUGGAAAUAUAAUAAAGAAGAAGUCUGAAUGAGGUGAAAUUUACAUGUGACAUAUAAGUGAUCUCUGCAGUAUAACA